AGCUGCGGAUGUGGCAGGGGAAGAAGACGUCUUCAGAUACGCAGAACAGACACCACAGAAGCAUCUGACUGCCCUUGGUCUACGGAUGCCACAUAUUCCUCGCUGCCUGCAGCUGCCAUUUCAAUCAGGGCUUCGUUACAGAGCAGAUUUUCCUCUUAAAAUAUUUUCUUUCAUAGGAAUCCUGUCUGUAUGAGCAUUGUGUUCAACCCCAGCGCCAGGAAGGACCAGCUGUAAAGAUACAGGUAAAUGCUAUCAAGCCAGAAGCUGCAAUUGAAGCUUUUUUUAAAAAAAAAAAAAUGCCCCAAAGGCAUUAAGAUAAGACGUCUUUCAUAACCGGGAGAGAGACACACAUACUUCUCAAAGCCUUGCUUUUCAAGUGCAUAUAUUAUCAAUCUAGUUGAAUGAGGUAAGAUUACUGCCAAAUAUGGGCAGAACAUGCUGCGAAACCUCACUUGUGAUUGGUUCUUCACGUUGCCCCAAAAAGAGGACACUGUGUUUUCAACAGUGGUCCCAGGAAAUCUUGAAAUCAACUGAAUGGUGUUUCAAACUUGAUCUUCAUUAUUUCAACCAGAGCCCCAGGCCCACCGCUAUUGGCUGCUGGAGGAGCCAAGCCCUGAAUCGGGGCUGACAUUUUCAACCCUUGUUUGACAGAACUUAAUUAGCGAGGAAGCCACACCCCAGUGUCGGAGACAUUUGAGUCUCAAGAGCUUUCGAUCCCAGCACUGGGUUGAAUUUCACUUUUCUUUCUUGCCACGCUGCCAGUUUGUCCUGCUGUAAGCCGACCAGCUUAAACACUCUGCAAAGGCAGCUACAGUUCAGAGGGUUUUCAGAGCCCCAUCAAAAGGCCAGUGCUUGUAAAAGGAUGUGGACGGGGUAGCUUCAGCUGGCCCCUCUCAGCGAUGGCCUGAGAUGAUAAAAUGCUUUGCAGCUUGAAUUGCCGCCAAGUGUUUUAAAACUCUGGCGUUUGUUCCAGGCCUUGUGUAAUUCUUUGUUAUCGGCAACACAGGCACUCUCUUUGCUCUUGUGAUCAGAUCACGAGUCUCUUGCACAAUCACCCCAGGAACUCUGGAAGGAUGAAGGCUAUUAACCCCAGCCUUGUUCUGUGAGCAACCCAAGGCCUCCUUAGAUAGCUACACUGUGGGCUGGGGCUCCCUAUCAAUCAUUUGCACACACUGUCAGUCCUCUCCUUCCAAACCUUUGAUAAGCACCAAUUCGACCACAAGUAUCCCUUGGGAAGGCGAUGGAUAUUAUUAUCCCCCGGGGAAAAGCAAACGAUGACGCCGUCAGUUCCGGCCAGAAGCAGAAGAGGACCAGGAUCGGUUCACCCCGAGCUGCCCACUGCACAGUGCCCACCGACUGAAUGACCUCAAAGGUCUCAAGUAUUGUUUAAAAAUCCAUUUAGGAAAAGAAUAUCGUUCGUUAAUUAAUUAAUAACAGGAAAAUGAGAGAAAAGCAAGGUGCUAAUAGUCCGGUGGACAUGACGGAGGUCCUGAGGCCACGUGUACUCGCCACUCUGCUGCUUACAACAGGGCGAUCCUGAUUCCAUAGAACCUGUGCGGGGGGGACGGGGGGAGGCCCCCCUUUCACACUCAGAUACGGAGACUGAAAGCUCGCCCAGGCCUGUGGAGAAGGAGGCAGCUGCUGUUGCAUGUGAACUGAGGGACAACGGGCCGUAAGCAUCCUCCCAGCUGACUGAGAUCAGGCAGGAGUUCCAAGCCGACUAGCAGAGAGGGCUGAGAAACAAGGCCAGGGCAGCUGGUAUCCGGCUGAGACAGUCUUCUGUUUCCUUGAGUUCACACAGGCGAAGAGGAAGCCUUCAUCAACCGCAGAGCACAGUUAAGCAAACUCUGUGCAGAGCGCAAGGAGGGGCCCCAGAGGCCCCAGAGGCCCCAGAGAACCCCGAUUUGGGGACCCGUAGCCGUGGCUACAGUGCUCUCUUAUCUUCAGGAAACUGCUCACGCUGCGCUCAGAACUUUGACACCACUGGUCACUGGUCGCCAGAUGCUUGUCCUUAACGGCACUGAAUACGUGUCCGUUGUCGUUUACAAGAAGAGAAGUCUCUGCCAUUCCUUGGGGGAUAUGCUGAGCUGACUUGGGAGGUCUGAUGUGAACGUCACACAAAGCCAUGCUCUCCUCCGUGCUCUCAAGUAGUCUUUGGUGGGUACCGGACUCAGCAGGAGAAGCUGCCAGCCUUCUUGCCUCACAAACCAACCUGCCCAUGCCAGUCCCAUCGACUCCAUCUUGGAGAACUAUCUCGCCAUCGGUCAAUCAUGUUCCCUUAUCUCAGCCCCAUGCUUCCUUGGAGGUCCCCCUGCCAAAGUGCACUGCUUUUACCCCAGAGAUGUCCCAACUCCUCCCUAAGGCCUCGAUGGAAUGGCUACGCUGGAUCUACAAUUUCCACUGUAUUGUCUUGUGGUAUCUGUGUGCUGAUGGGGAGACUGAUUGGCGGAAAGUAUUCAUAAAUAUCUUAAAAUACAAAGUACAAGUUCUUCUUUCUCCUAGCUUGGAAACAGCACACAGGCAAUGCAACUUGUACUCUACUGUGCAACCCUACUCAGGAACCACAUGAAACAGGAAGCUUCUGCGGGGGGCGGGUUCCUGCAAGCAUGUAAGAGAUAGUCGUGGUUUGAGGGCAACAGUCAGGUAGAUCUUGCAGCCGGAAACGUUCACACCAGACACCCUUUCUGGCUUCUGUCUAACUCCAGUGUUAAGUUAGACACUGUCCUUUUGCCACUUGGACAGAAGUCGUUUGAUUUCUCACACUGCAUUUAUUUUUUCUGAUUGCAGCCAUGAAAAGGACGGCAAACUGGAUCCAGCUGAGGAGAGGCCUGGGUCUGGGGCCUUUUCUCAGCUGCUCUUAAAGAAUUCCUCAGAUUGAGUCAUUUUUCCUUGAACCACAAUCCCUCAAAAACUUCUAAAGAGACCACUUAGAGAAGGAAGAGUCCCGCUCUACUAAGGCAGCUGAGUGAGCCCUCCUGGGAAAUGAAGCUAAAAGAGAAUACCUUUUAGCUGCCUUCUCUUAGGAAUCUGGUCUCAGUGCCAAUCGUUGUUAUUUAUCACUACUGAAGAUGCAUUAAUGGUGAGCCUGAGAGGCCCAAAGAUGAUCAGACUCCUAGGAACCACAUGUUCAGAUCCCAGUGGCAUCUGGUCAAGUUUUCCCCUUCCGAGGAAGAUGAAGUCCAUAAUUUAGGAGGCAGGCUCACAAGCUUUGCAAGCAGGUUACACUUCCAUUACGAAGAAAAAAAACCAACCAAACAAAAAAACCCCUCUUGCACCACUGAUUUUAAAUACAACCACACUGCAAGACUGCAAGAUGAUGGACCUUGCACAAGGGUACCGAAGAUAGAGGGGAGCCUUUGUAAAGAUUUAUAUAUUUCUCCAUUGAGGGUUUUUGUUUUUUUCCUAAACUUUAGACAGAGUUAGCAAAGGAAACAGCUGGUUCACAAAAUCUCAAAUGGAGGAUGGUUUCUCUCCCUCCCCUUCUGAUUUCUCCACUCCUCACUCUAAAAGUCACACACCUUGAUAAGCAACCCAAGAGACAUUUGUAAAUUGAUAAUGCUCAGUUUUUAACAAUUGCCCUAAACAGCCAAUGCUCUAUUGUCUAGUUAACAGUCGCCGUGGUGGCCUGCUUUCUUAAAAGUCACUGAUG